CAUUAUUCCUGACUCAGCAGAUCUUCCUUCAAUCACCGGGCGCGGGCGGGCCUGCGCAUGCGCACUGAGUGCCACUGAUCGCUAUCGUCCGUAUAAUUAUGCAAAUUAACCAGCGCCGCCAAACGCAAACCGCCAAUCUAAUUUGAAUUUGAAAGAGCCAUCUUCGCCGCGCCGAUAAUUUGCACCGCACUUUUAUCGAGUGCUAGUGCGAUAAAGAAGGAUAAAGAAGGCCGUUUUAAUAAUAAUUCAACCACUGAAAUCACACGGACCAGAUUUGGACAAUGACUUGAAAGCUAAGACAUUCGCAGUAGGCUCUACAGGAGAGAGGGAGACCCAAAACCACCUGGAGUCAUACUGAGCCUCGAGGAGGAGAUGAAGUCAGUGAACAUGACCUGGGCCUGGGGUACCGGUAGUUUCCAGAAGAAGGCCCAGCUCAGAACCGCCAGGAGUAGAGAUCCGAAUACUUCGUUGCUGCCCUCCAUAUGAGGAGGCUGUAAGUUAGAUACAUCGCAUCUACCGUACCAGCAAAGAACGUGUGUCAGUACAGGGAAGGAAUGUACCUGUCGCACGUGAACUCUUCAGAGGCAGUGAGGACAACAAGAUCUGCAAGCAAGUGAUCCUUUUUAUACAUCGCAUCUACCAGCAAAGAAUGUGUGCCAGUAGAGGAAAGGAAUGUACCUGUCGCACGUGAACUCUUCAGAGGCAGUGAGGACUAGAUCUGCAAGCAAGUGAUCCUUUUUAUAUAUCGCAUCUACCAGCAAAGAUCAAGUGCCACUACAGGAAAGGAAGGUACCUGUUUCACGUUUCCUCUUCAGAGCCAGUGAGGGCCCCAAGAUCUCAAUAAAUAAUAAUUAAAAAAAGACUCCUUUAUCAUUCCUUUAAAAAUAGUACAUAUUAUUUAUUGAAGGUAAAUGCUUAGAUGCAUUAUAUUCAAAUUUUGUCUCCAAGCUAGCAUGUAAAAAUUGGAUUGACUACAUAUUUACUGUGUAAGUUAAUGAUCUUUGUUGACACAUAAUACAAGAAUUAUACACAGCAUGUUACAGUUUGUAACAUAAUUUUCUUUCAUUAAAUUCCUAGUUUAAAUACCAUAUA